UACGGGGGGGGCAAGCGUUGUUCGGAAUUACUGGGCGUAAAGCGCACGUAGGCGGUCCAGCAAGUCGGGUGUGAAAGCCCUCGGCUUAACCGAGGAAGUGCAUUCGAAACUACUGGACUUGAAUACUGAAGAGGAUCGCGGAAUUCCCGGUGUAGAGGUGAAAUUCGUAGAUAUCGGGAGGAACACCAGUGGCGAAGGCGGCGAUCUGGGCAGAUAUUGACGCUGAUGUGCGAAAGCGUGGGGGAGCAAACAGG
rnacentral:rRNA from 1 species